CGAACGCUGGCGGCAUGCCUAACACAUGCAAGUCGAACGAGAAAGCUCUUCGGAGUGAGUAGAGUGGCGCACGGGUGAGUAACACGUAGGUGACCUACCAUACAGUGGGGGAUAACCAGAAGAAAUUCUGGCUAAUACCGCAUACGAAGCACAAAUUUGAAAGUAGUGCUUGAAAGGAUGCUUCGGCAUUCGCUGAAUGAUGGGCCUGCGUAGCAUUAGUUUGAUGGUGGGGUAACGGCCUACCAUGACUACGAUGCUUAGCUGGUCUGAGAGGAUGAUCAGCCACACUGGAACUGAGACACGGUCCAGACUCCUACGGGAGGCAGCAGUGGGGAAUAUUGCGCAAUGGGGGAAACCCUGACGCAGCAAUGCCGCGUGAGUGAGGAAGGGUUUCGGCUCGUAAAGCUCUGUCAGAUGGGAAUAAUGGUCAAGGGUCUAAUAGGCCUUUGAUUUGAAGGUACCUUCAAAGGAAGCACCGGCUAACUUC
rnacentral:rRNA from 1 species